rnacentral:lncRNA from 1 species
UUUUUUUUCUUUUCUUUUCUUUUUUUUUUGUUUUGUCUAAAUAAACGAAGUUGAUCACGUCGAGUCAUACAAUCGGAUCGAACGAGAAUGGCGAAUCGAAACAGAACCCGUUUAUUUAUUAUUAUUAUUAUUAUUAUUAUUUUAUCACGUUUUGUUCAAGUACGCAGAGUUUAAUCGUGUCGAGCCUAUCGCGAAGAUGGCCGCAUGAUUUUUUUAAUACCCAUGUCGAGCCUAUCACGAAGAUGGCCGCAGGGCUUACGUAAUAAAACCUCCGGUUCGAUCAAUUAUUUUGACCAUGUCGAGCCUAUCGCGAAGAUGGCAGCACGAUUUUUUUUUAUACUCAUGUCGAGCCUAUCACGAAGAUGACCGCACGGCUUACGUAAUAAAACCUCCGGUUCGAUCAAUUAUUUUGACCAUGUCGAGCCUAUCGCGAAAAUGGCCGCACGGCUUGGAGAUUAAUAAUACAUACGCACGGCGGAAGUGACGAUUUGAUGUUAGAUUUGAUCGGUUCGAAACCUAUCACGAAGAUGGUCGGGUUGAUCAAACCAACAAAAAAAAUCACACUUACGCUACGCGUACGCAUGCGUAUCUCCUGUUGUUGUAGAAAUCGUCGUAGUUGCCGUUGUCGAAGUCGUCGUCGUCGUCGUCGCGUCGUCGUUAGAGU